CACGGCCCUGUCCUCCCCAGUUAAAGUUCUGCUCCAGUCAUUACCACGGGCCUUUCCUCCCCAAUUAAAGUGCCACCAACCUCCUGUGAAAUCCAUCCCCCAUUAAAUUUAGUGAAAAUCCCCAAAGUCAUGGUCUUUGUCCUGGUUUCAUUGGUAAGAGAAUGCCCCUCUCCCCACAGGUGUGAUUACUACCUCUGAGGGUUUAGAGCUUGAGGUAGUCACCUUAUACAAGUACUUGGGAGUGUGGCUAGAUGGUACACUGUCCUUCUCUCAGCACAUAUCAAAGCUGCAGGAUAAGGUGAAAUCUAGACUUGGUUUCCUCUAUCGUAAUCGCUCCUCUUUCACCCCAGCUGCCAAACUAACCCUGAUUCAUAUGACCAUCCUGCCCAUGCUAGAUUAUGGAGAUGUAAGUUAUAGAUUGGCCAUCAGAUUUGCCACCAAUGUUCCUCAUCCUCCACCCGUUCUGCCAGUCACCUUCUGUUAAAGGUCCCCAAAGCACACACAUCCCUGAGUCGCCCCUCUUUUCAGUUCCCUGAAGCUAGCGACUGGAACGAGCUGCAACAAAUACUCAAACUGGACUGUUUUAUCUCCAUCUCUUCAUUCAAAGACUCAAUCAUGGACACUCUUACUGACAGUUGUGGCUGCUUUGUGGGAUGUAUUGUUGUCUCUACCUUCUUGCCCUUGUGCUGUUGUCUGUGCUCAACAAUGUUUGUACCCUGUUUUGUGCUGCUACCAUGCUGUGUUGCUACCAUGUUGUGCUCCUACCAUGUUGUGUUGUCAUGUUGUGUUGCUGCCAUGCUAUGUUGUUGUCUUAGGUCUCUUUCUGUAGUGUUGUGUUGUCUCUCUUGUCCUGAGUGUGUUUUGUUCUAUAUUUUUAUUAAAUAUAUUUUUAAUCACAGCCCCGUCCCUGCAGGAGGCCUUUUGCCUUUUGGUAGGCCGUCAUUGUAAAUAACAAUUUGUUCUUAACUGACUUGCCUAGUUAAAUAAAGGAACAAAUAAAUAAAUAAAUACAUGUGGAAUCACUCCAAGGCCAUUAUGAACUUUACCCUGGUUUAAGGUGGAAUCACUCCAAGGCCAUUAUGAACUUUACCCUGGUUUAAGGUGGAAUCACUCCAACAGCAGUAUGAACUUUACCCUGGUUUAAGGUGGAACCACUCCAACAGCAGUAUGAACUUUACCCUGGUUUAAGGUGGAAUCACUCCAAGGCCAUUAUGAACUUUACCCUGGUUUAAGGUGGAAUCACUCCAACAGCAUUAUGAACUUUACCCUGGUUUAAGGUGGAAUCACUCCAAGGCCCUUAUGAACUUUACCCUGGUUUAAGGUGGAAUCACUCCAAGGCCCUUAUGAACUUUACCCUGAUUUAAGGUGGAAUCACUCCAACAGCAUUAUGAACUUUACCCUGGUUUAAGGUGGAAUCACUCCAACAGCAUUAUGAACUUUACCCUGGUUUAAGGUGGAAUCACUCUAAGGCCCUUAUGAACUUUACCCUGGUUUCAUGUGAAUCACUCCAACUAUACCACAAUGCAACAUGUUUUAGUGAGACAGCCAAUGCUAAUUCUCUUGGGCUGAGUUCCAAAUAGCUCCCUAUUCCCUAAAGAAUAUAUUUUGAUUUAACACUUGUUUGGUUCCAUAUGUGUUAUUUCAUAGUUUUGAUGUCUUCACUAUUAUUCUACAAUGUAGAAAAUAGUCCAAAUAAAGAAAACCCCUUGAAUGAGUAGGUGUGUCCAAACUUUUGACUGGUACUGUUGAUCUCUAACAAAGGGGUCGUGGAAAAGGUCUGUUGAAAUGAAUACUGUAGUGGUGUGUGAAAGGUAACACAAGCUUCCUCUCUGGUUCCAUUCCCCCAAUAGUAACUGGGUCAUUAUUGGAUGGUGAAUGUCAUGCUGUCCCUGGACUGUAGCACCACAUAAAAAAAUGACAAAUACAUUUAUUUAACUGUUAUUUAAUAAGAAACCUAUGUAAAUCCUUUAUACUGAUAAACAUAUAUUUGUACAGAUUGUAGACAAUACUGGUGCCUAGAUAAAUGGGCCUCUUCCAAUGGUGAUG
ensembl:lncRNA